rnacentral:rRNA from 1 species
UGUUCAGAUGAACGCUGGCGGCAGGCCUAACACAUGCAAGUCGAACGGUAGCACAGAGAGCUUGCUUUCGGGUGACGAGUGGCGGACGGGUGAGUAAUGUCUGGGAAACUGCUGAUGGAGGGGGAUAACUACUGGAAACGGUAGCUAAUACCGCAUAAUGUCGCAAGACCAAAGAGGGGGACUUUCGGGCCUCUUGCCAUCAGAUGUGCCCAGAUGGGAUUAGCUAGUAGGUGGGGUAACGGCUCACCUAGGCGACGAUCCCUAGCUGGUCUGAGAGGAUGACCAGCCACACUGGAACUGAGACACGGUCCAGACUCCUACGGGAGGCAGCAGUGGGGAAUAUUGCACAAUGGGCGCAAGCCUGAUGCAGCCAUGCCGCGUGUAUGAAGAAGGCCUUCGGGUUGUAAAGUACUUUCAGCGGGGAGGAAGGUGUUGUGGUUAAUAACCACAGCAAUUGACGUUACCCGCAGAAGAAGCACCGGCUAACUCCGUGCCAGCAGCCGCGGUAAUACGGAGGGUGCAAGCGUUAAUCGGAAUUACUGGGCGUAAAGCGCACGCAGGCGGUCUGUCAAGUCGGAUGUGAAAUCCCCGGGCUCAACCUGGGAACUGCAUUCGAAACUGGCAGGCUAGAGUCUUGUAGAGGGGGGUAGAAUUCCAGGUGUAGCGGUGAAAUGCGUAGAGAUCUGGAGGAAUACCGGUGGCGAAGGCGGCCCCCUGGACAAAGACUGACGCUCAGGUGCGAAAGCGUGGGGAGCAAACAGGAUUAGAUACCCUGGUAGUCCACGCCGUAAACGAUGUCGAUUUGGAGGUUGUGCCCUUGAGGCGUGGCUUCCGGAGCUAACGCGUUAAAUCGACCGCCUGGGGAGUACGGCCGCAAGGUUAAAACUCAAAUGAAUUGACGGGGGCCCGCACAAGCGGUGGAGCAUGUGGUUUAAUUCGAUGCAACGCGAAGAACCUUACCUGGUCUUGACAUCCACAGAACUUAGCAGAGAUGCAUUGGUGCCUUCGGGAACUGUGAGACAGGUGCUGCA